GUGAGAUCAUGACCUGAGCUGAAGUCGGAUGCUUAACCAACUGAGCCACCCAGGCACCCCUGGUUUGGUUUGUUUUUAACAAGCCCCUUUGAUUACGGACUUCUCUUUACGGCUCCCUCUGGCAUCCAAAAGCUCACAAAACCAGUUUUCUUUCCUCCCACACCCCAUUUUAGAUCAUUGGAGUUGGAACAGGAUUUCCAUCUACCACAGAUAACAAUUCCCGUUUUAUCAGUCCCCUUUUCUCUUCUCUACGUGGCAUGAUUUUGAAUAUACAUCUAGAGAAGCAAAAGUGAAGAGGCAAAGAAAUAUAAAUGGUUGGAAGUGAGUCUCUCUUCCAGUAAUUUUUCCCCUCCCCUAGUAAGAUGUCACUCCAAGAGAGGUUUCACAGCACAGAAAGACCCGAAAGUAUGAUCAUCGUUCGACGCGUAAUUGAAAGAUUUCAAAAGUUGAACUGGAAGCAUUUUUGUCAGAGUUUAUUGCAAGUGUUUUGUAUCUUAAAAAAAAAAAAAAGUUUAUGAAAGUUCUGUGACAAGAAGAUGAAUUACGGAACCA